UACGGAGGGGGCGAGCGUUAUUCGGAAUUAUUGGGCGUAAAGCGCGCGCAGGCGGUUUCUUAAGUCUGAUGUGAAAGCCCACGGCUCAACCGUGGAGGGUCAUUGGAAACUGGGGAACUUGAGUGCAGAAGAGAAAAGCGGAAUUCCACGUGUAGCGGUGAAAUGCGUAGAGAUGUGGAGGAACACCAGUGGCGAAGGCGGCUUUUUGGUCUGUAACUGACGCUGAGGCGCGAAAGCGUGGGGAGCAAACAGG
rnacentral:rRNA from 1 species